rnacentral:rRNA from 1 species
GACGAACGCUGGCGGCGUGCCUAACACAUGCAAGUCGAGCGCUGAAGCCUGGUACUUGUACCAUCUGGGUGAGCAGCGCACGGGAGAGUAACGCGUGGAGCAUCUGCUUUUGUGUGGGGGACCAUAAUUGGAAACGAAUGCUAAUACCACAUAAAAACUUUCAACACAAGUUUUAAGUGUGAAAGACGCAAUUGCAUCAUUCAAAGAUGAUUCCGCGUUGUAUUAGCUAGUUGGUGAGGUAAAGGCGCAUCAAGGCGAGGAUACAUAGCCGACCUGAGAGGGUGGUCGGCCACAUUGGGAGGGUGACACGGCCCAAACUGCUACAGGAGGGAGCAAGAGGGAAACGUCGGCAAGGGGCGGAAGUCUUACCGAGCAGCGCCGAGGGAGGGAAGAAGGUUGUCGGGUCGGAAAACUCGGUUGGUAGAGAAGAACGUGCGUGAGAGUGGAAAGCUGCUCAAGUGACGGUAACUACCCAAGAAGCAACGGCUAACUACGUG